GACGAACGCUGGCGGCGUGCCUAAUACAUGCAAGUCGAGCGGAUCUUCAUUAGCUUGCUUUUGAAGAUCAGCGGCGGACGGGUGAGUAACACGUGGGCAACCUGCCUGUAAGACUGGGAUAACUUCGGGAAACCGGAGCUAAUACCGGAUGAUCCUUUUCCUCUCAUGAGGAAAAGCUGAAAGACGGUUUCGGCUGUCACUUACAGAUGGGCCCGCGGCGCAUUAGCUAGUUGGUGAGGUAACGGCUCACCAAGGCGACGAUGCGUAGCCGACCUGAGAGGGUGAUCGGCCACACUGGGACUGAGACACGGCCCAGACUCCUACGGGAGGCAGCAGUAGGGAAUCUUCCGCAAUGGACGAAAGUCUGACGGAGCAACGCCGCGUGAGCGAUGAAGGCCUUCGGGUCGUAAAGCUCUGUUGUCAGGGAAGAACAAGUACCGGAGUAACCGCCGGUACCUUGACGGUACCUGACCAGAAAGCCACGGCUAACUACGUGCCAGCAGCCGCCGUAAAAC
rnacentral:rRNA from 1 species